CAAUAGCGUAUAUUAAAGUUGUUGCGGUAAAAAAGCUCGUAGUUGGAUUUCUGUUGAGAGCGACCGGUCCAUACCAUGUAUGCGUAUCUGGCUUGCUCUCGGCAUCCUCUCGAUAGACGUUACUGCGCUUGAUUGCGUGGUGCGGAUCUCGGGACUUUUACUUUGAGGAAAUUAGAGUGUUCACGGCAGGCUUUCGCCAGAAUACAUUAGCAUGGAAUAAUACUAUAGGAUCUUGGUUCUAUUUUGUUGGUUUCUAGAAUUGAGAUAAUGAUUAAUAGGGACAAUUGGGGGCAUUCGUAUCAGCACGUCAGAGGUGGAAUUCUUGGAUUGUGUUGCGACGAACUACUGCGAAAGCAUUUGCCAAGGAUGUUUUCAUUGA
rnacentral:rRNA from 1 species